UACGUAGGUGGCAAGCGUUGUCCGGAAUUAUUGGGCGUAAAGCGCGCGCAGGCGGCUUCUUAAGUCUGAUGUGAAAUCUCGGGGCUCAACCCCGAGCGGCCAUUGGAAACUGGGAAGCUUGAGUACAGAAGAGGAGAGUGGAAUUCCACGUGUAGCGGUGAAAUGCGUAGAUAUGUGGAGGAACACCAGUGGCGAAGGCGACUCUCUGGUCUGUAACUGACGCUGAGGCGCGAAAGCGUGGGUAGCAAACAGG
rnacentral:rRNA from 1 species